GGGCUCUUAGCUCAGUCGGUUAGAGCAGUGGACUCAUAAUCCAUUGGUCCGGGGUUCGAGUCCCUGAGAGCCCA
rnacentral:tRNA from 1 species